GUGUCAGCCGCCGCGGUAAUACGUAGGUUGCGAGCGUUAUCCGGAUUCAUUGGGCGUAAAGAGCUUGUAGGUGGCUAGGUAAGUUGGACGUGAAAACUCUGGGCUUAACUUGGAGAGGCCGUUCAAUACUGCAUAGCUAGAGGAUGUCAGAGGGAAGUGGAAUUCCUGGUGUAGCAGUGAAAUGCGUAGAUAUCAGGAGGAACACCCGUGGCGAAGGCGGCUUCCUGGGACAUUACUGACACUGAGAAGCGAAAGCUAGGGGAGCAAACGGGAUUAGAUACCCUGGUAGUCC
rnacentral:rRNA from 1 species